rnacentral:rRNA from 1 species
CCUACGGGUGGCAGCAGUGAGGAAUAUUGGUCAAUGGGCGAGAGCCUGAACCAGCCAAGUCGCGUGAGGGAGUACUGUCCUAGGGGUUGUAAACCUCUUUUGUCGGGGAGCAAAAGCCGGACGUGUCCGGCUUUGAGAGUACCCGUAGAAAAAGCAUCGGCUAACUCCGUGCCCGCAGCCGCGGUAAUACGGAGGAUGCGAGCGUUAGCCGGAUUUAUUGGGUUUAAAGGGUGCGCAGGCGGAUUUUUAAGUUAGCGGUCAAAGCCUGGGGCUCAACCCCAUCCCGCCGUUGAAACUGGGGAUCUAGAGUGUGAGAGAGGUAUGCGGAAUGCGAGGUGUAGCGGUGAAAUGCAUAGAUAUCACGCAGAACCCCGAUUGCGAAGGCAGCAUACCGGUGCAAAACUGACGCUCAGGCACGAAAGCGUGGGUAUCGAACAGGAUUAGAUACCCUUGUAGUC